UACGAAGGUGACAAGCGUUGUUCGGAAUUAUUGGGCGUAAAGCGCACGUAGGCGGGUUUGUAAGUCGAUUGUGAAAACCCUGGGCUCAACCCGGGACCUGCAGUCGAAACUACAAGUCUUGAAUGCUCGAGAGGAUAGUGGAAUUCCAGGAGUAGAAGUGAAAUUCGUAGAUAUUCGGAAGAACACCAGUGGCGAAGGCGGCUCACUGGACUGGUAUUGACGCCGAGGCACGAAAGCGUGGGGAGCAAACAGG
rnacentral:rRNA from 1 species